CGCACUGUUGGUCGGCUAGAUACGGCAGCGACGGGGGAGACGGUCUCUGUGGGGAGUUGAGACGACCAGCACGCGGGCGAAGAUAGCGCGUGGCUCAAAUGACUGUCUGAA
rnacentral:ncRNA from 1 species